rnacentral:rRNA from 1 species
UACGAAGGGUGCAAGCGUUAAUCGGAAUUACUGGGCGUAAAGCGUGCGUAGGCGGUUUCUUAAGUCCGUUGUGAAAGCCCUGGGCUCAACCUGGGAACUGCGAUGGAUACUGAGGAGCUGGAGUACGGUAGAGGAAGGUGGAAUUCCCGGUGUAGCGGUGAAAAUGCGUAGAUAUCGUGAGGAAGACCAGUGGCGAAAGGCGGGGUCUCUGGACAGUUCCUUGACACUGAGGCACGAAGGCCCAGGGGGGAGCAAAACGGGG